rnacentral:rRNA from 1 species
UAUGGGGGGGCAAGGCGUUGUUCGGAAUUACUGGGCGUAAAGGGUCCGUAGGUGGCUUGCUAAGUCAGACGUGAAAUCCCUCGGCUUAACCGGGGAACUGCGGUCUGAGACUGGCGAGCUUGAGUGCAGGAGAGGAACGCGGAAUUCCAGGUGUAGCGGUGAAAUGCGUAGAUAUCAGAAGGAACAUCAGUGGCGAAAGCGGCUUCCUGGUCCAAGUACCGACGUUCAGGCACGAAAGCGUGGGGAGCAAACAGGA